rnacentral:misc_RNA from 1 species
ACUGCUUCGAGGUAUGCGGCAAUCGAACGUAUUCACUGCAGCGUUUCCGUCCUCGACACCUGAGCAUGGGUUUUUGAGCGUGUUUGGAGACCGAGGGGUGGAUGAAAACAAGUCGAGCUGCAACAGCAGCAACUGUCGUAGCGGCAGCGGUAGGGGCAUUCGCUCUACGGGGAGCGCGCUCGGGCCAGCAGGCUGAGCCAGCUCCACCAGUGUUGCGCUAUGGACAGGGUCCAUCGCCAGUUGCCUUAUGCAUAGGAGUGGUGCUAUCGACACUCUGGAAUGCGGGUCGGUUGGUUACGUUGUGAUCGCGAAGGUCAGGCUUGCGGUUUCCUCGUUCGUUUUGCUCAAAGCAGCCGCCGCAGCCGCCACCGCUCUAGCGCAAACGCGUAGGUCGUGCUUUGCAUACGUUUCCGCUGCGGUAUGAUCAUGUGUCGUUUAGUGUUGUUUUCUUUCUGGUUCGGUAUCUGUUUGCGUCCGAUGAGGUUCGCAUUGGCGCAAGCACCAAACGAAUCCCGGCCAACCCACAUCAGCUGUUGCACUUUUGUUGACAUAGACCCUUCAACGACGCGACGCUACCGUUGUGUCUUCAGGUCGUCGGCAGGCGGCGCGCUCGUUCUGGUACCAGGAAUUCCACCUGAAGACUGUAUUGCAUCCAAAAACACGGACUGAACCAAGUCAGUCUCCAGCGUGACCGCCACAUAGCCGCUUCGACAAGCCGGAGCGAUCACCAAGGCUGCACCUUGAAUGCGAGCCGAACACAAGGUCAAGACUUGAAAUGGCUCGCUUCUGUCCGGUCACGAGCAUGCAUUCGAUCAGGUCUCCAGUGCCCCGAAAAACGAUCAGGUUUCCAUAAUCUCUCUCUGUUUCCAGUGAACUGGUGGAACCGAUGCGAAGAGCGAAUUGUGUAGCGAAGCAAAUCGCUCCCGGAUCGCCGCACUGAACCUAGGCUGCUGCGUCGGGGAUGCUCGCCCCAAAUGCGCUACAAUGAAGACACGGCUACGAAAGCUACUAGCGAACGCCGAGCACUCCGCAGAGCUCUGGGUAGUCAGCACGCCGCAGGAAUACCACGGCGCCCUGUUUCUACGUGUGCCAGGAACGCACCAGCGCGAGUCGCCACUUCACAUGAGAGACAAGGUAGCGGUACCACGGUUUGGACUGGGUGUAUGCACGCGCGACACGGAAGCUGCGCAACUGCAUUUGCACUCUGUAGGAGGCAACGCGCACAACGUGGCACUUUGUUGACAUUUUGUGCGCGUCUAGCGAUUCGGAGACAGCAGCAAUGGUAAGGAUGCUUUUGUUGGCGUAGCGCCCUUGCACCGGCCGAAAACAGCGGUGCUGUUGCCAGCUGGAAGGCAAGUUGAGGUAGCGUAACGCACACCGAGCAUUCUCUUGCGCACUACAUCCGGAAACUGCAACGCAUCGGGAGGAACCGCAAUCCUGCCCUGGAAGCCAUGUUCCUGUUGUGCUGGUGCUUCGCAGGUGCGCCCCCGUCUCCUCAUGGUCCGUUGCUGCCGCGAUCGCUAGCUAACGAAUACCGAGGAUGGAGCUCUUCGGUUACGUUUCCGCGGGGGCCAGCAUGCGGCGCGGAUCUACUGCUUGGUCGAACGCUUCCGCGGUGAUGUAGCCACUAGCGAGAGCCGCUUCCCGUAAAGACAA